AUUGAACGCUGGCGGUAGGCUUAACACAUGCAAGUCGUGCGAGAAAGUAUCUUCGGAUAUGAGUAGAGCGGCGGACGGGUGAGUAACGCGUAGGAAUCUACCUAGUAGAAGGGGAUAGCCCGGGGAAACCCGGAUUAAUACCGUAUACCUCCUUCGGGAGAAAGAAGGCCUCUCUUUGAAGCUUUCGCUAUUAGAUGAGCCUGCGUAAGAUUAGCUUGUUGGUGAGGUAAAAGCUCACCAAGGCGACGAUCUUUAGCUGGUCUGAGAGGACGAUCAGCCACAUUGGGACUGAGACACGGCCCAGACUCCUACGGGAGGCAGCAGUGGGGAAUAUUGGACAAUGGGCGCAAGCCUGAUCCAGCCAUACCGCGUGUGUGAAGAAGGCCUUCGGGUUGUAAAGCACUUUAAGCAGGGAGAAAAAGUUAUAAGUUAAUACCUUAUAACCGUGAUGUUACCUGCAGAAUAAGCACCGGCUAAUUCCGUGCCAGCAGCCGCCGUAAUAC
rnacentral:rRNA from 1 species